GGCGCAAGGGUGCGUAACGCGUGAGCAACAUGCCCGUAUCAGGGGAAUAAUCCAGGGAAACUUGGUCUAAUACCCCAUAGUAAAUAUUAAAGGCAUCUUUAAUAUUUUAAAGCUUUGGUGGAUACGGAUUGGCUCGCGUGACAUUAGCUAGAUGGUAAGGUAACGGCUUACCAUGGCUACGAUGUCUAGGGGUUCUGAGAGGAAGAUCCCCCACACUGGAACUGAGACACGGUCCAGACUCCUACGGGAGGCAGCAGUGAGGAAUAUUGGACAAUGGAUGGAAAUCUGAUCCAGCCAUGCCGCGUGCAGGAAGACGGCCCUAUGGGUUGUAAACUGCUUUUAUAUGGGAGCAAUAAGACCUACGUGUAGGUUGAUGAGAGUACCAUAUGAAUAAGCACCGGCUAACUCCGUGCCAGCAGCCGCGGUAAUACGGAGGGUGCAAGCGUUAUCCGGAUUUAUUGGGUUUAAAGGGUGCGUAGGCGGUUUGAUAAGUCAGCGGUGAAAUAUUUCAGCUUAACUGGAAGGGUGCCGUUGAUACUGUCAGGCUUGAAUUUAGUUGCUGUGGGUGGAAUGUGUGGUGUAGCGGUGAAAUGCAUAGAUAUCACACAGAA
rnacentral:rRNA from 1 species